UUGACCUCGGAUCAGGUAGGAAUACCCGCUGAACUAACU
rnacentral:rRNA from 1 species